AACGGAGGGAGCAAGUGUUAUUCGUCGUAACUGGGUGUAAAACGUCUGUAGAUGGUUUAGUAAGUUUUAAGUAAAAGCCGUUUCAUAAGCGUAAUACUUAUCAUACUGCUAUAAAAUAAAGAAAUUUAUUUUGUGUGACUAGAGUUUAAAAGAUUGUCGUGGCGCUUGUUAUGUAGAAGUGAAAUUUUUAAAAAUAACAAGAACCAACAUUCGGCGAAGGCAGCGACUAAUUUUAAACUGACAUUGAGAGACUAAAGCGUAGGGAGCAAACGGG
rnacentral:rRNA from 1 species